rnacentral:snRNA from 1 species
CCGCGUCGCGAUAGUAAUUCAACCU